rnacentral:rRNA from 1 species
UACAGAGGUCUCAAGCGUUGUUCGGAUUCAUUGGGCGUAAAGGGUGCGUAGGUGGCGGGGCAAGUUUGGUGUGAAAUCCCGGGGCUCAACCCCGGAACUGCACUGAAUACUGCCUUGCUUGAGCACUGGAGAGGGAACUGGAAUUUACGGUGUAGCAGUGAAAUGCGUAGAUAUCGUAAGGAAGACCAGUGGCGAAGGCGGGUCUCUGGACAGUUCCUGACACUGAGGCACGAAGGCCAGGGGAGCAAACGGG